UACGUAGGGUGCGAGCGUUAAUCGGAAUUACUGGGCGUAAAGCGUGCGCAGGCGGCGCGUUAAGACAGGUGUGAAAUCCCCGAGCUUAACUUGGGAAUUGCGCUCGAAACUACGGUGCUGGAGUGUGGCAGAGGGAGGUGGAAUUCCACGUGUAGCGGUGAAAUGCGUAGAGAUGUGGAGGAACACCGAUGGCGAAGGCAGCCUCCUGGGCCAACACUGACGCUCAUGCACGAAAGCGUGGGGAGCAAACAGG
rnacentral:rRNA from 1 species